ensembl:lncRNA
UUCAUCUGUUUCUUUAGAUGUCAGGAGGAUUUGUAGGUCAUCAGGACUGAUUGUGGUUUUGGUGUGAAAGGCGCUGUGUUGCUGUUUCAUCCGAGCGCAUGAUCUGAUGACAUUAGUGCCACAUGAAUAUUUUACACACUGUGUAGAGAUGAGAUCCGUCACUCUCGAACACUCUGCUCUUCCUCUAAAGCCUUGUGUGACUCAGGAGACGUCAUUCGCUUCUCAGGGUUCUCGGCCCAGCUUUCAUGUGCACAGCUGCUCACCUUAUAGCCGGCAGUACACCCACGGCCCGUCUGCAGGCUCCCGCCGGACGCUCAAACACACAGCUGACCAGAAUCUAUUAAAGCGGCUGGAGGUCUGCGGUGACGCCCGUGACCCGAGCACCUGUCCUCUCAGGCGUCGCUGCAUUAAUGCUGAUGAUCUCACAGCGGUACAAGAGGAAGAGCUAUUUCAGCGCUUACACUCUCAUUAACAUCUCACUAAUGCAGCGUCCUACCGUUCCACACACACUCCAGCGCCGCGCUAGAACACACACAUCCACCGCACAACACCAGCACAAGGCCACAGAGGCUCACCCGGCCUUUUUGACCUCCAUAAAUGUUUGUGAUCGGCCUGUUUUAUUCUGACUGCUGUUGAACCAGAACCUCAUUAUCAUUAACCCCGAACCCUCAAACUGAUAAACACAAACCACACAACACUAAACACAAACUCCGAAAGGGACAGUUCACCCAAACAUCAAACUUUGUCAUUCCACACCAGCGUUUGACUUACUUUCCUCUGAAAAACACUCUUUUUUUCAACCUAUCAAGACCGUAAAGGUCAUUUUGGACUGAAAUUUAAUAUAAUAUAAUAUACUAUGUGAGGGAUAAUGCACGGCUAUCUGUGCAUUAAACGAUUUCCACACGUGAAAGCCAAGAACCACCUGAAAUAAAAUAAAAUAAAAUAAAAUUAAAUAAAAAAUAAAUAAAUUAAAUUUAAUCUAUUACAUUUAUUAAAUUAAAUCAAAUUAAAUUAAAUUAAAUUAAAUUAAAUUAAAUUAAAUUAAAUUAAAUUAAAUUAAAUUAAAUUAAAUAUAUAGCUGGGCAGUAACUGAUGCUAUCUGGAUCACAUAAUCAGAUUCCAAAAAAUAAGUACUUGUAAUUAGAUUUAAUUACAUUUUAAAAUACUUCAAAUCAACCUACAGUUACUUUUUUAGUGCUUACAUGAUUGCAUACUGUUUGCACAAUAGCAAUAAAAUAGCAGUAAACAAAUAAAUUGUCUAUUUUAGCAAGUGUUUUAUUUUAAUUUAAAUAAUAAUAAUAAUAAUAAUAAUCAUUUUAUUUUAAUUGUAUAUUUUUAUGAUUUAAUUAUUAGCUUUUUAUUAAACUCUUAAACCCCUUGCUGUUCCUUCAUGAACCCCAGUUUGGGAAGCCUUGACAUAAUGUAAUGUUUAAUGCACCUGAUGUUGUUAAUAACAAUGCAAUACUUUCUCUUUGUAUUGUUUAUUAAUAAGGCAUUAGAUUAUCCUAUUUAAAUCAAUGUGAUAAACAAGUUAGGUCAAAAUCUAAAAGUAGUCCUAUUAUAUUACUUAAAAUGUGUAAUGUAAUAGAUUAUAUUACUAACUAUAUGUAAUUUGGAAUCAGUAACAACUACAGACUGUAGUCUACCCAGAGUUGCACAUAUGAAAUAUUAUAUUAAAAACUAAAUAUAAAAAAAUGGUAACAUUUUACAGUAAGGUUCUAUUUGUUAACAUUAGUUAACUACAUACAGUAAGUUAACAUAUACUAACAAUGAAAAAUACUUUUGAUGUCAAACAUUGUAUCUAUUAAUGUUAUUUAAUGUCCCUGAGCGAACGUAAACAGAUGUAUUUUUAUUAACCAACAUCAACAAAGAUUAAUAAAUACAGUUACAAAUGUAUUCCUCAUUGUUAGUAAAUGAAUACAGUUCACAAAUGGAACCUUAUUGUAAAAUGUUACCAAAAAUACACACAUUUAUCAUAUUAUGUAUUCACUUAUCAUAAUAUACAUUAUAUAUUAAGGAUCAAAUAAAUAAAACAUUAAAAUGCAUGCAUUAAAAUAAAUGUGAUACUUUUGCUUUAAUGCACUAAGCAUCCACUGAUCAAUCAGAAAUUCAGACGAGGUAGAUUCAGUUGUGCAUCUGCUAUCUGGACUAAUAAUUUCUGUAAUUAUUUUCCUCUGGAGUCUAUAAACAUCUGUAUAAUAAAUUGGACUCUCACAGUGUUUUUUGGCUUUGUUGUUACUAAUGUUUGUAGAAUGCAAAGCUUUUAACGGGGAAAUAUUUAUCACCGCUCUGCAGUCAUGAGAAAUAAUGAUGGUUGCAUUCAAGAUGAUCAUCAUAAGAGUAAUCGGCCCUCGUCAAAUUAACCUUUACGCUGGUAAUGUUCAAUAAAACACUGAGUAUUUUGUCAUAGAUCAGCAGCGAGAGAAAUGAGGGUGUGUGUCUCUCUUAAUUUAUUGUUAUUAACCUCAUCAAGAGAAAUGACUUUGAGUUCAGAGAAAUUCAAAUGAACGAUCAGAGAGAAAAGCAAGUGGCGUCGUGAACUUACAGUAUUCACACGACUGUACAGUAAGACUGUAACCAUAGCAACAGUGAUGGUGGGUCACACUUGUUUGGUUUGGCUUUAAGUUUACUUGAGUGUUCCAGGUUCAGUACUAGUUAAUCUACCAAAAAAUUAUUCAGCUUG